GUGCUUGCUUUGGCAGCACAUAUACUAAAACUGGAAUGAUACAGAAGAGAUUAGAAUAGCCCCUGUGUGAGGAUGACACACAAACUCGUGAAGCGUUCCAUAUUUUU